rnacentral:misc_RNA from 1 species
GAUGAAGAACGCAGCGAAAUGCGAUAAGUAAUGUGAAUUGCAGAAUUCAGUGAAUCAUCGAAUCUUUGAACGCACAUUGCGCCCGCCAGUAUUCUGGCGGGCAUGCCUGUUCUAGCGUCAUUACAACCCUCAGGCCCCCGGGCCUGGCGUUGGGGAUCGGCGGAAGCCCCCUGUGGGCACACGCCGUCCCUCAAAUACAGUGGCGGUCCCGCCGCAGCUUCCAUUGCGUAGUAGCUAACACCUCGCAACUGGAGAGCGGCGCGGCCAUGCCGUAAAACACCCAACUUCUGAAUGUUGACCUCGAAUCAGGUAGGAAUACCCGCUGAACUUAAGCAUAUCAAUAAGCGGAGGA